rnacentral:snoRNA from 1 species
AAGACUAUACUUCACAGGAUCAUUUCUGUAGUCAGUCUUCAUUUACUUUCUUUGCAAAUCGAAAGUAUUAGCACCCACGAUGAGGAGGUAUAUCGUUUUAUCCGACAGCGUGAGGUUUAUGAACUUCAUCACUAAUUUUGUCAUAUGACAUAUUUGAGAUGAUGUUUCUUCGAUGAUCGCUCGGUUUUAACGGAUAAAACGACUUCUGAGUGGU